UACGUAGGGUGCAAGCGUUGUUCGGAAUUACUGGGCGUAAAGGGCGCGUAGGCGGUCUGUUAAGUUCGGCGUGAAAUCCCCCGGCUCAACUGGGGAACGGCACCGGAAACUGGCAGACUAGAGUACCGGAAAGGAGGGUGGAAUUCCUGGUGUAGCGGUGAAAUGCGUAGAUAUCAGGAUGAACACCGGUGGCGAAGGCGGCCCUCUGGACGGAUACUGACGCUGAGGCGCGAAAGCGUGGGGAUCAAACAGG
rnacentral:rRNA from 1 species